AGAACGAACGCUGGCGGCAUGCCUAACACAUGCAAGUCGAACGCUUUUGGGGCUUCGGUCCCAAAGGAGUGGCGCACGGGUGAGUAGCGCGUGGGAACCUGCCCUGUUGUGGGGGAUAACCGAGGGAAACUUCGGCUAAUACCGCAUACGCCCGGGGGAAACUCCGGGGAAAGAUUUAUCGCAGCAGGAGGGGCCCGCGUCGGAUUAGGUAGUUGGUGGGGUAACGGCCCACCAAGCCUGUGAUCCGUAGCUGGUCUGAGAGGAUGAUCAGCCACACUGGGACUGAGACACGGCCCAGACUCCUACGGGAGGCAGCAGUGGGGAAUAUUGGACAAUGGGGGCAACCCUGAUCCAGCAAUGCCGCGUGAGUGAUGAAGGCCUUAGGGUUGUAAAGCUCUUUCGCGCGCGACGAUGAUGACGGUAGCGCGAGAAGAGCCCCGGCUAACUUCGUGCCAGCAGCCGC
rnacentral:rRNA from 1 species